rnacentral:tRNA from 1 species
AGGCGCGUAGCUCAGUGGUAGAGCAUCACCUUGACAUGGUGAGGGUCGGUGGUUCGAUCCCACUCGCGCCUACCA